rnacentral:sRNA from 1 species
AAGGAUUUGUUUUUAGAUUGCCUCACAUCACCUUUAGCUUGUUUUCGAUAUAAAACCACGGAAACAAAGCUAGUCUUCGAGGCAUAUAUUGAACUGCGGUGUUAACGUGGAGGCAUACUUGUUCAUCAUAGUUUAGCCUCUAAAAUUAUCCGCUAAACCACUUCAUUUUCAUUUAUUCGUUUUUGCCUUUGUUUUUUGUUUUCCAGAUUUGGCAUUUGUCUGAAACUGGCUAAUUAUGAGCAAAAUCAUUUGGAAUCUGUGAAUC